GGGAGUACGGUCGCAAGACUGAAACUCAAAGGAAUUGACGGGGGCCCGCACAAGCGGUGGAGCAUGUGGUUUAAUUCGAAGCAACGCGAAGAACCUUACCAGGUCUUGACAUCCUCUGACAACUCUAGAGAUAGAGCGUUCCCCUUCGGGGGACAGAGUGACAGGUGGUGCAUGGUUGUCGUCAGCUCGUGUCGUGAGAUGUUGGGUUAAGUCCCGCAACGAGCGCAACCCUUGAUCUUAGUUGCCAGCAUUUAGUUGGGCACUCUAAGGUGACUGCCGGUGACAAACCGGAGGAAGGUGGGGAUGACGUCAAAUCAUCAUGCCCCUUAUGACCUGGGCUACACACGUGCUACAAUGGAUGGUACAAAGGGCUGCAAGACCGCGAGGUCAAGCCAAUCCCAUAAAACCAUUCUCAGUUCGGAUUGUAGGCUGCAACUCGCCUACAUGAAGCUGGAAUCGCUAGUAAUCGCGGAUCAGCAUGCCGCGGUGAAUACGUUCCCG
rnacentral:rRNA from 2 species